UACAGAGGUCUCAAGCGUUGUUCGGAUUCAUUGGGCGUAAGGGUGCGUAGGCGGCGCGGUAAGUCGGGUGUGAAAUCUCGGGCUUAACUCCGAAACUGCAUUCGAUACUGCCGUGCUUGAGGACUGGAGAGGAGACUGGAAUUUACGGUGUAGCGGUGAAAUGCGUAGAUAUCGUAAGGAAGACCAGUGGCGAAGGCGGGUCUCUGGACAGUUCCUGACGCUGAGGCACGAAGGCCCAGGGGAGCAAACGGA
rnacentral:rRNA from 1 species